UGGGAGGGUCCGCGCGCCUCGCCCCACGGCGCGGGUGGGGACGAUGCAGGGAGGGGGGGGGCUCAAGCGCACGGGGGCGCGCGCUCGGGGGGGGCUGCGGUGCAGGUCCGCGUGGCGGGUCCGCGCGCGCCGGGGAGCCCUGGGGGCCGGGAGUUCGAGUCCCGGCGCUGAGGGCCCGGUGCCCGCUGUGCGCACGGGAGGGGUACGCGGGGAACACCCAGCGUUCCUCCUCUUUUAUCAGGAGCCUUCAAAGGCCGAGGCUGAGCACGCAACGCGCAGCACGCCUCAGCACUGCGGGUGUGAGCACCCGGUCUGCACAGAGCCCCGGGGUCUCCUUUGUUAGGGUUUUUUCCUUCAUUGGAACGGUUCCUCGUUCAUUCCAAGGGUGUCUUGGGGCUUCUGGCGCUGGGCAGAAGGGCACCGGAGUCCAGUUGGGAUCCUCAGCACAGGAAGGACGCGGAUCAUGGAGUUCAAGGAAGUCUUCUUGAAGGAAGGCAAGUAUCUGCACAUCUCCAGGUAAGGAGAACAUCACAAACCAGCCAGGGGACUCCGGACCAGCCCUCAUUGCUGGGCGAGGGAAGCACCACGCAUCCUCAUCACAGCCAUCCCAUUGUUUGUCGUGCUGCCAAGAUGGUGUCCAGUGCUCUUCCCACAUCCAUUUGGGAUCUGCCUCCAUCUGGACCACUGCACUCUCCAAACCAGGCCAUUUGCCUGUCACGAGUCGGGCUUUCUAAACACUGAGAGAAAGGACAGGGCAAAGCAUGGGAAGGGAAAGGUGGGUCUGGGGAAUUGUUUACUGUGUAGCGUGUCCAGAGAAGGACAACUAGGCUGAUGAAGGGGCUGGAGCACAGGGUUCGUGAGGAACGGCUGAGGGACCUGGAGCUGUUCGGUGUGGAGAAAAGGGGGCUGUGGAAAGACCUUAUUACUCUCUACAACUACAGGAAAGGAGGUUGUAGCAAGGUGAGUGUUGGUCUCUUCUUCCAAGCGACAAAUGAUAGGACAAGAGGGAAUGGCCUCAAGCUGUGCCAGGGGAGGUUUAGAAUGGAUAAUCGGAAAAAUAUCUUCAUUGAAAGGGUUCUUAGGCACUGAAACAGCUGCUCAGGUAGGUGGUGGAGCCACCAUCCCUGGAGGGAUUUAAAAGACAGAUAGACAAGGUGCUCAGGGGUGGUUUACUAGUGGACAGGUACGGUUAAACUCAAUGAUCUGAAAGGUCUUUUCCAAACGAAUGAUUCUAUGAUUGAAAGGGAAAAAACUCCCACCUCUGAGUAUUUCUUGGAGGAAUCAGGCCCAGGUGCCUGGAUUGUCAAGUGCACACAGGUGCCUGUCUCCCUGGCAACCUGAAAAAAACACUAGAAAGAAAAGUAGCAUGUACUGAUCCUCCACUGAGACCAGGGGAUGCCAGCAGGAAGAGGUGUACGGGGACUGAUGGGGGAAAUUACACAGCCUGGUUUCACUCACAUCCAGAUGCAGCAACUGGAGGGUGGACGUCUGGAGCUUAAGAUGGAAGUCCAGGUUUCACUGGCUUCCACGGCUCCCAGGAACACUUGAGGACGUGGGGCAUUAUGAACUGUACAAUGUUCAAAGGCCAAAUAAUCCAGAUCCCAAAGGGAAAGUAGCUUGUUCUAAGCACUCUAAGCACUUGUGUGGCCUCAGAGCAACAGGAGCAUGGUGGGAUUUGGAACAGCUCCUUGCCAAGCCAGCAAGGCUGGCAAGUUUUCCAGUUUAUAUGGGAAUAAACUUCAGAAAAUUUGCUCUUUGUUUUGGUUUAAUCCCAUCUGAUAGCUAUGAGAAGCUUCUAGCUACAAGGUUAAGGCAGGAGGCAGACUGCUAGCAAACACUCUGCAGCAUACACAAGUAAUAUGUGAGCUCUUUUAGAAUCUCUUUUUUACUUAUUUACUGUGAAAACACACCAUUGAAGUGAAAACGGUGUUCUGCAAGAGCAGCUGAGAUGGAACGCUGUCAGUGUUUUUGUAAUGCAGUCUUUGCUUUAACAGAUCCCUCAUCAGAAGGCCUGGAGGCUGAGCAAUAGGUGCUUUAAAGAACAUCACUCUCCAUUUACUCAGUUAUGUCUUGCAGUGAGAAAUUGAUCUGUAGUGUCACCCAAUGCCUCUCAAUUUCCCCAUUUCAAUGGAAGAACUGCAGCAGCCCACGCCAUCCAGUGAAGGUUCCCAAUGUUAACUGUGCCAGCCUCGUUUUCUCUGCUCGAUGCUACAGAGAAUACAAAGUGUGAAGUUCAUCACUUGGCACAUGGACCCCUCCUCUUGAGGCUGAACAGGCUUUGGAGUUGCCUUAGGACAGGAAGAAGAAUUUCCAGAAAGCCAAGAGAUAUGGCAGAAAUGGUUGGGAGGAUCUAUUGCCAACUGUGUCCAUGAACUCCAGACAAAUGCAAAAAUACCGGUGAAGAACAGUGUCUGCAAGUAGUUUAUGCUUCUUAUUUGUGAGAUGAAGAUUGUAAGAAAUGGCUAUCAAAUAUACGUGGGUGAGAUACUGGAUUUGUCACGGCUGUUUCACUAGUUAUGCCUCACCAUGACCAUGGGUUUGAAACAACCUUGGUUCUGUCUGACUUUCAGCAGUCCAAAGAUUUGGGACACCUUGAAUCAUGUUGUUCACAGAAUCCCACAGAUGGACAAGUUCUUUCUUUUUCUAAAA